rnacentral:rRNA from 1 species
GAGAGUUUGAUUCUGGCUCAGGAUGAACGCUGGCGGCGUGCUUAACACAUGCAAGUCGAGCGAAACACAUAGAACGGAAUUCUUCGGAAGGGAGGACUUAGUGAUUGAGCGGCGGACGGGUGAGUAACGCGUGGGUAACCUACCUCAUACAGGGGGAUAACAGUUAGAAAUGGCUGCUAAUACCGCAUAAGACCGCAGCACCGCAUGGUGCAGUGGUAAAAACUCCGGUGGUAUGAGAUGGACCCGCGUCUGAUUAGCUAGUUGGUAAGGUAACGGCUUACCAAGGCGACGAUCAGUAGCCGACCUGAGAGGGUGACCGGCCACAUUGGGACUGAGACACGGCCCAAACUCCUACGGGAGGCAGCAGUGGGGAAUAUUCGCACAAUGGGGGAAACCCUGAUGCAGCGACGCCGCGUGAAGGAAGAAGUAUUUCGGUAUGUAAAUUCUAUCCGCAGGGAAGAAUAAUAGACGGUACCUGAUAAGAAGCCCGGCUUAUC